rnacentral:rRNA from 1 species
AGUGAACGCUGGCGGUAGGCCUAACACAUGCAAGUCGAACGGCAGCACAGUAAGAGCUUGCUCUUACGGGUGGCGAGUGGCGGACUGGUGCGGAAUACAUCGGAAUCUAGUUUUUCGUGGGGGAUAACGUAGGGAAACUUACGCUAAUACCGCAUACGACCUACGGGUGAAAGCAGGGGAUCUUCGGACCUUGCGCGAUUGAAUGAGCCGAUGUCGGAUUAGGUAGUUGGCGGGGUAAAGGCCCACCAAGGCGACGAUCUGUAGCUGGUCUGAGAGGAUGAUCAGCCACACUGGAACUGAGACACGGUCCAGACUCCUACGGGAGGCAGCAGUGGGGAAUAUUGGACAAUGGGCGCAAGCCUGAUCCAGCCAUACCGCGUGGGUGAAGAAGGCCUUCGGGUUGUAAAGCCCUUUUGUUGGGAAAGAAAAGCAGCAGGUUAAUACCCCGCUGUUCUGACGGUACCCAAAGAAUAAGCACCGGCUAACUUCGUG